CACAGAGUCAACCUAGAGAGUUGUCCCAGCCGACCAUCUCCAGAGCCUCUACUCUCACGGCUGGCUUCACGGCCCCACCCCUGCAAGCCGACCAUCUCCAGAGCCUCUACUCUCAUGGCUGGCUUCACGGCCCCACCCCUGCAAUGCAAACUGUAACUCCUCCUCUUGGUCCAGUCAAAUGUCCUCUGAGAAGCCUUCUGCAAUGACAUGCCUUUCUCCCAACAUGGACUCAGGGAUCUUUCCCAGGUACGCAGACAUCUGAGAAGCUGAGAAAAAGCAGUGGCUAUCGCGCUAAGGAGAGCACCUACUGCUGUAAAGGGCUGGAGUGAAAGAGCUGAAAUUCCUCCUGAAGAGGACACACUUUGAAUGUGUCAUGGACACCUCGGGAUUAGAAAGUCUGCCAAGAAGUCAGGGGCUUACGACUCCCAAAGCAACAAUCUAUUAUGAAGAACUGCUGAUGACUGCAUGUGUUUAAGGACCAUUCAGCUGCAAAAGACCUACCUGAAG